GAAAGAUGGCUUUAGCUAUCACUCUGGGAUGGACCUGCGGUGCAUUAGCUAGUUGGUAAGGUAACGGCUUACCAAGGCGAUGAUGCAUAGCCGAGUUGAGAGACUGAUCGGCCACAAUGGAACUGAGACACGGUCCAUACUCCUACGGGAGGCAGCAGUAGGGAAUCUUCCACAAUGGGCGCAAGCCUGAUGGAGCAACACCGCGUGAGUGAAGAAGGGUUUCGGCUCGUAAAGCUCUGUUGUUGGAGAAGAACGUGCGUGAGAGUAACUGUUCACGCAGUGACGGUAUCCAACCAGAAAGUCACGGCUAACUACGUGCCAGCAGCCGCGGUAAUACGUAGGUGGCAAGCGUUAUCCGGAUUUAUUGGGCGUAAAGCGAGCGCAGGCGGUUGCUUAGGUCUGAUGUGAAAGCCUUCGGCUUAACCGAAGAAGUGCAUCGGAAACCGGGCAACUUGAGUGCAGAAGAGGACAGUGGAACUCCAUGUGUAGCGGUGGAAUGCGUAGAUAUAUGGAAGAACACCAGUGGCGAAGGCGGCUGUCUGGUCUGCAACUGACGCUGAGGCUCGAAAGCAUGGGUAGCGAACAGGAUUAGAUACCCUGGUAGUCCAUGCCGUAAACGAUGAGUGCUAGGUGUUGGAGGGUUUCCGCCCUUCA
rnacentral:rRNA from 1 species